rnacentral:tRNA from 1 species
UCCUCCGUGGCGCAAUUGGCUAGCGCGUCUGACUGUUAUUCAAGAUGGCAAAUCAGGAGGUUGAAAGUUCGAGCCUUUCCGGGGGAG